rnacentral:rRNA from 1 species
UACGAAGGGGGCUAGCGUUGCUCGGAAUCACUGGGCGUAAAGCGCGCGUAGGCGGUUCGUUAAGUCGGGGGUGAAAUCCUGGAGCUCAACUCCAGAACUGCCUUUGAUACUGGCGAUCUUGAGUCCGGGAGAGGUGAGUGGAACUCCGAGUGUAGAGGUGAAAUUCGUAGAUAUUCGCAAGAACACCAGUGGCGAAGGCGGCUCACUGGCCCGAUACUGACGCUGAGGCACGAAAGCGUGGGGAGAAAACAGG